rnacentral:lncRNA from 1 species
AUGCGACAAGGAUGCCCCAAGACUCAGGAUGUUGGGAAGUUAAGGCACCAGGAGUAACCAGAAUGCAGAAUGAAGAAUAGUUCUUCUGCUGUGAGGAUCCACUGGGUUGCCACUGAC